AAUCACUUGAUACACUCUCCAUGCUGUUCAGCAGAUUUGAAACUUGAGGAUGACCACAAGAUAUGCCAGUUUGGCUUGUGCUGAUUUAUUGACCAGUCAUCAGCAUCAAUCUUAUUAUCAUCGCUUUGAUAAACAGCAUCCCUCUUGGUUGAAGAAACUUCUAAUGACGGCGUUACCGGAUCUUUCACUUUCUUUAAAUCCCCUUUCUCCUCGUGUACACUCAUGUGAGUGUGGGUGUUAUUAGACCCGUACGAGUCUGAGCCCCAGCAUUUUCCUAUCCCGCCUGGUGGAUUCAACUCUUCAGCGAAUGGAGCACUUUUGGAUGCCUGGCCGUGAAUUUCCCAGGCUUAAAGGUAGGACAAACGUUUCUCUCUAUUCUUCCUUUGGCGUUGAUUAUAAAUCUUUAAGGCCUACGAUUAUUUAUGAGCUAGGCUGUUGACUGUUUUCUCUUGCCGUUUUUGUUAACUCAGUCAGGGUUCAUUAAAUAACUCAUUCGUUAGAAGAACUCUGCACAUCAGGCCUGUACGUCACAACUUACGUCUUUGGGUCGCAAAUAUUUUAACUUUAAACACUUGAAGCAAAGUGCCACUAGAGAAAGGGACGUGCCGCCACACCUCCUCGUUAUCGACCUAAAAUUUCACUUGAUCGGAUUUUUAAGUUGAAACUCUUUUAUAUAGGCCCACACACAAAGCAGAGCGAGGGCGGGUCACUAUUGAGUGAGAAUGGGGCUACAGCUAAGGAUCGAUGAAAACACAACUGGGGAGGAAAGGGACGUGUACACAAUUUCGUGUGUGUGUGUGUGACAGUCAGUUGGCUUGACAGAGAGAACGACGACA